GGUGUGCUCACUGUCUCACUGUUAUCUCAGUCACUGGGUCUCAACUGGCACUGAGCCACAGCAGGUGUUAUCUCAUCAUCUUAGUCUAUUACACAUAUGCUUAUCAGAGCAUUUCUCUAUUGGAGUGCAUAAUAAUCUGGUGCAUCAUAGGCAGCAAGGGAUGACAGAGCAUACAAGUGAUAUAGAAUCCAAGAGUCAUCAAUUUUAAUCUAAGGUCUUUGAGGGGCCUGCCUAGAUUGGAAAAAGGGCAGAAGAACCAGAAGAUUUCUAGAACCAUUCUAGAUCCUAACAGAAUUAUCAAGAAACUUGCGAGCCUAGAGGAAAAAUGUAUAAAACAAUAAUUUAAGUGUACUUUUUCAAUUGAACAAAGGUUCAGGAUUUGGAUCUUUUAAUAAAACACGUGAAAAAAGUUAUAACCCACCUACUCAGAAGAAAGACUAUAAGGAGCCACAUAGUAAAAUGCAUAAACUUAAUAGAUCUUAAAGCCAAUCAAAUAAGAA
rnacentral:lncRNA from 1 species